UGGGGAAUCUUGGACAAUGGGGGCAACCCUGAUCCAGCCAUGCCGCGUGAGUGAUGAAGGCCUUAGGGUCGUAAAGCUCUUUCGCCUGUGAAGAUAAUGACGGUAGCAGGUAAAGAAACCCCGGCUAACUCCGUGCCAGCGAGCCGCGGUAAUACGGAGGGGGUUAGCGUUGUUCGGAAUUACUGGGCGUAAAGCGCACGUAGGCGGACCAGAAAGUUGGGGGUGAAAUCCCGGGGGCUCAACCCCGGAACUGCCUCCAAAACUAUUGGUCUAGAGUUCGAGAGAGGUGAGUGGAAUUCCAAGUGUAGAGGUGAAAUUCGUAGAUAUUUGGAGGAACACCAGUGGCGAAGGCGGCUCACUGGCUCGAUACUGACGCUGAGGUGCGAAAGUGUGGGGAGCAAAACAGGAUUAGAUACCCCUGGUAGUCCACACCGUAAAACGAUGAAUGCCAGUCGUCGGGUAGCAUGCUAUUCGGUGACACACCUAACGGAUUAAGCAUUCCGCCUGGGGAGUACGGUCGCAAGAUU
rnacentral:rRNA from 1 species